UACAUGGGGUGCAAACGUUGCUCGGAAUUAUUGGGCGUAAAGCGUGCGCAGGCGGUUCGUUGUGUCGGCGGUGAAAGCCCCGGGCUCAACCUGGGAAUGGCCGUUGAAACUGGCGAACUGGAGUGUGGCAGAGGGGGGUGGAAUUCCGCGUGUAGCGGUGAAAUGCGUAGAUAUCUGGAGGAACACCGGUGGCGAAGGCGGCAUCCUGGACCGGCAUUGACGCUGAGGCGCGAAAGCCAGGGGAGCAAACGGG
rnacentral:rRNA from 1 species